CAGCUAAACUUUAACUUAAAACAAAAGUUCAGAGUAUCAAGUAUUGUUCUGUUGGGCAGAGGGGCAAGAGGGUAUUUUGUUUAAAUCAUAUUAAAGGACCACGUGAAACUUUUUUUUAAAUUGAAGACAUUUAAAAUUUUUCAUCCUUAGAAAAAUACUUUAAAGCCACUGGAGUAUUUGUAUUUUUUUAUAGAAAAUGGUAUUCAUAAAUAUCAUCAAACUGAAAAAAAAAGAAAAAUAUUUUGGAAUGGCUGCGUGUUUUCUUGGAAGUAAUGUUGAAGUUUUUUCUUUUUUAAAAAAAUAGGUCAAUUUGUGAGACUAAAGAAGAUAUUGUAAUAAUAGAGGUUUAUUUCAUCUCCUCUCUUGCUAAGUCUCAAGGAGUUUGGUGGACUAACACCCCCUAAUUUUCAUGCCAGGUAAUGUGAACACCCUAUAUUGUCAUUAAUAUCAUCAGUAAUACUCUUAGAAAAUACAGAGUUGGGUUGUAAAACAAUUUUGAUUAGUUUUUCUUUCUGUCUCCACGAAAGUUGAAUUUCUGGAAAGCCAGAAUCUCUGUCUUGUUUCCACUGGGUCCCCAGUCCCUGGUUCAUGGUGGACACGGGUAAAUAUUUGCUGAAUUAAUAAUGUUUGCAUGCCAAAGAGUGAAGAUUUUUGUGUAGCAUCUUCCUCUGUAGGGAUAUAAAAUGAGAGAGAAAUUUGAUCCUCAACCUGAAAGAAGCUUAUUUCUUCUGUCAGGUAGUAGAGAUUACCUAUUUUUCUAGCACACCUGAUUUGUCAAAUUAUACUCGUGCAUGUACAUUGCAGUAUGAUUCUCAAUAGAAAAUCUGUUUUGUCUUCUUUCAUAUCUAUCCUCUCUCCUCCACUUGAUACACGUCAUCAAUACAUAUAUUCCGAAGUCGUCAUUAAUGUAUAUGUCACAUAUAUAUGUGUGUGGAAGGGGCGACUUCCUCACAGCACACUUAAUUAUCUCCAAGUAUAUUGAGAGAUUAAAAAAUAGUUUUCACAGCUGUAGGUAAGAAGCUGCAAGGGACCCUGGACUAGAUGAUCUACAUCAGUGUUACUCAAAAUGCUGGUCCAGGAGUUCUAGUUGUGGCUCAGUGGAAACAAAUCUGAGUAGCAUCCGUGAGGAUGCAGAUUCAAUCCCUGCCUCACUCAGUGGGUUAAGGAUCCGGUGUUGCCGUGAGCUGCAGUGUAGGUCACAGACACCGCUCGGUUCUGGUGUUGCUGUGGCUGUGGUGCAAGCUAGCGGCUCAACUCUGAUUCAACCCCUAGCCUAGGAACCUUCAUAUGCCAUAGGAGUAGCUAAAAUGGCAAUAAAACAAUUAAAAAACAAAAAGUGCUGAUCCAUGAGCUCUUUGUAACUGAUCUGCAACAGAAUGUAAGUCAACUAUGCCAUUAAGCACACAGUUUAGUUCAUUUCAUAUCUUUUUCCUGGUAUGUCUUUCUCAAGGAAGGAAGCAGCACUUUAACUUGCAUCCUCAUGCAAGCUCUCUAUUCUUUGUGGUCGGAUCUCAAGUGGCUCAUAGAUUAGUCUUGCUCUAUAACCACAUUGUGAACAGCACUGAUCUUCAUCAAAGUCUUGUCUACUUCAAAGAAUAGCCAAACUACCUUUUAAAAGUAUCAUUUUCAGCUUGUUAAAUGGUUUAUUCCUCUAAUAAUUAGUUAUGUGAUGAUAAUUCAUAUAAAUAACAUAAUUAAUUAUGUAGAUGGAUGGAUAAUGUUAUGUCAAGUAGUAACAAUAUCAUGGGAAAAAAUUAAAUAAAGCUAAAGGGAUAGAGAAGGGUAGGGGAGUUCCCAUCGUGGUGCAGCAGAAACAAAUCCGACUAGGAACCAUCAGGUUGUGGGUUUGAUCCUGGCCUCGCUCAAUGGGUUAAGGAUCUGGCAUUACUGUGAGUUGUAGUGUAGGUCUCUGAUGAGGCUCAGAUCCUACAUUGCUGUGGCUGUGGCAUAGGCCAACAGCUGUAGCUCAGACUGGACCCCUAGCCUAGGAACUUCCAUAUGCUGCAGGUGCAGACCCCCCCAAAAAAAAGCAAUUAUAAAUAAAUAAGUAUUAAAAAUCAUUGCAAUUCUCCCUUAAAAUUAAAAAAAAAAAAAAAAUCAAGGCAGUCAGUGUGCCUAGAGGGCAGUGAACAAAGAGGAGGAUGGUAGCAGACAAGGUCAGAGAGCUAGCCAGGGGGCACAUUUUGCAAGGCCUGUAGUCCAUGGUCAGGACCUUGUCUUUUGUUUUGAGUGAGACAUGGAACCCUUGGAGGGUUGAGAGCGUGGGAGAGACAUGAUAUGACAGGUUUUAAAGGAUUGCGGGGAUGGCAGAGGAGUAAGGUGAAAGGAGGCAGAUGAGGAAGGCUAUUGUUGCAGAUCAGGCAAGAGAUGGGUGAUGGCUUAGACUAAGGAGGAAGGGUUGGAGAUGACAAAGCACCAUCACAUUCUGAAUUUGUUUUAAAGGUACAGUCAAUAGGAUAUGCUGACUAGAUGGGAUAGAUUGGGCGUGGGGUAAGAGAGAAUGAAUGAAAUCAAGGAUGACUCUGGGUUUUGAUGGCACCAUUUAUGGAAAUGAGGAACACUGAGAAAGAACAGAUUGGAGUGAGGAGAGAGGAGGAAAGAGUUGAGUUUGCACUUGUUGGAUAUGUGAUACCUGAAAGACAUCCAAGUGCAGAUGUGGAGAAAGCAGUAUAAUAGAUACAUCUGACUCUAAGGAAGAGGGUGUGACUGGAGAUAUAAUUUGGGAGUUGUUCCAAACACAGCUCAGAUCAUCUAGGAAGCAGGUGAAGACAGAGGUCAAGGACCAAACCCAGGGCACACUCAAUAGUUAGAGAUCUGAAAAACGAGGACAAACUCUGCAAAGGAUACUGAGAAGGAGAUGGGAAGUAAACAAACAACAGCAACAACGAAAUCUGGUAUUACGAAUGCCAGAAGGAAGACUCUUUUAGGAAGGGACAGUAAUCAUCUGCUUCAGACACUAUUGUGGAAUGAAGAUUAUAAAUUUUCUACAAGAAUGGCCUUAUGGAGGUCAUUGAUGCUCAUAAUUAAAGCAGUUUCAGCUCUAAUUCACUGCCUGAUUGAGAAGUUCUCUUGUGAUUGGUUUUAGUUUUUUAGUGAAAUGAGAAUCAGCUAUCUGGUGAAGACAGAGAAGGAAGGGGUGGGGCAUUGAGGUUUGCAAAUAGAGGAGAAACUAUGAAGGGCGAAUCAACUGGGGAAGUACAGCAGAGUUGCCAACAGAACUAAGAACUCACUCAUUGGUUGAGGUCAUAGAUUUAAAAUGACAGCAGACAGCACCAUUGUAUGCUUUCCUUCGGUCACUCAAUUUUGCCGGUGGUAGAGAUGGAGGACAGGAUUUAAGGAAGAUCAAUGUUUUUGCUAGGCACAUAUGAUGGAGGGGAAAAGUGCUGGGUAUUUGGGAGCAAAUGUAAGGGAGUGAUUUAAUUAUAAUGGGAUAGAAAUUAAGUCAAGAUGAAAGCGAAAACAUGAAUGGGGAAGGAACUAUUGGCAAUGUCAAAAGUCAUGGUAAGUUCUGGAGUUCCCAUCGUGGCUUAGUGGUUAACGAACCCCAUGAGGACUCAGGUUUGAUCCCUGACCUCGCUCAGUGGGGUAAGGAUCCCGAUCCAAGAUUAGCAGUAUCAAGGGGUUGGAGGAAGAUUUGGGGAAGGCUGCAAGAAAAGCCAUCUCCUAGAAAGUCAGCCAGAUUUACUUCAGGGCGAGAAAGAAACAAACACUUAAAGAAUAUGCAAGAGAAUUUAUUGAUGAUAGAUCUUGGGUUUCAGAGGACUCACUGGAAAUGUUUGGAGAUGGUGGGAGGAGUAGCUAGAGCUUCAAUCAGACUAGGGAAUAAGCAGCACCUUUGGGGAUGCAGAUUUGUGAGAGUCUGGGUGAUGGAGAAUAAGCUGGAGUCAUGAAUGAGGUCCACAGGAAUGAGAGGCAUGACAGGCAGAUUCUGGUGGAGUCUCAGAGAGAGUGGGAUACUCAGUCUUGAACAUAGUUCCUUGUUGGUACCGGUCUCUUUGGUGGUUCUCAUGACGAGAUAGGAAGGAUUGGAGGAAGGAGAGCUGAAAUUGGACCAGAAGCCAGCAGCACUCUGAGGACUCCUUGGACGCCAGUGAGAGUGGUCUAACAAGGGCUGCAGAGCUCUAGGGUUUUUGCCUCCAUCCUGUCAAGAGCAAUCUCAAGGUUUCCGGAAACCAUAUUCCUUCUAUUGUCCAUUGCCUUCUCUAGAUUAGAAAACCAUCACCCAGUGAUUGGGGUCUUUGCCUGAAUGUAUUUCAGAAUUACCAGGUUGAUUGACGCUUCAACAAAUACUGUUUUUAUGGAAAGCUCUUCAAAUUUACAUUGGCAAAGAGCUGGUGCCACCCUCUCCACAGAAACAAGGCUGACGGCAUUUAAAUAGCUUUGGCUAUCUCUUGAGGAGAUCACAGUUGGUGGGAAAUUGACAACAUCACUACGGAACAUAACUGGGAAAUGAUAUUUUUCUUUGCUCACCACUAGACAUUUUGGACUUGGGAAACUCAGCCUACUGGAGUAGUCAAUGUAUACAGGCAGGAGAGACUUGCUUCUGCUAAUUCUUUCUUGUCAUUUUUUCCCUGCAUUAUAAUCAAACCUGCAGACCACUCAUUAUUUACCUAUGAUAAGUGUAGCUUUCUUGCUUUUCCCAUUUCAAAGCAGUCAUUGAAAAUUUUCCCAACUGAUGAUUUUUAUGUAGGCUGAUGAUUUGUAUGUAAGCAAAACAUACUUUUGAUAAUAGUCUUUCCAACAACUGCUAAAAAGCUUUGUCACUACAGGCUGUCGAAAGAUGGCCUCACUUGGAAGUCUUAAAGUCUAAUUAGUUUUCUUGUAUGUCUCAGUGCCUUUUUAAGCUGCAAAAUAUAACUUCUUGGAUAAAGGGGUCCUUUUUCUUACAUGCAAUGAGGCCAAUUUCAGAAUUGUUCUUUACAAACAUUGAUUGAUCAGACGGCAUUUGGUCCAAAGUGACUUCUCAGAUAUAGAUGAGACCAAAGCCUUGUUUUGAAAGUUUCAAGCCUAAUUAUUUUCUUUCAAAAAAAAAGAGAAGGCAAAUUCGGAAUUUGGAGAGAAUUAUUGAUUUUUUGUUCUGACCUGUUCCUGAAUCAAAGUGUUUAUAGCCUUAAGGACACCCUAGACAAAAGGAGGUUUUUAAAAAGGGAACAGAUAUUGAGAGAUAAAUUUGAAUCAGGCAUCUAUUUAUGCACCAGGCGCUGACUAAGAGAGAGACAUAAAAAUGAAAAAAGGAGCUUGUCUCAAGCAUCAAAUGGUCUAGCGGUGGAGACAGACACAUAAAGCAAUUACUCUGUUGAAUUCCAUUAAACUUUAGAAGAGGGGGAACAGUUUAUCUUCUUAGGGGAGGAAAGAGAGUUAGGGGAGAGGGAGCAGGGAACCUACAUAGAGUGGAAGAUCUUUAAAUUGGACUUCAGAAGAUGAUCUAGAAUUUACCAUAUCCAUAAGCACAGGUAGAAGUCAUCUGAGAGGGAAUUCAAAGAGGGGACAACAGCCUGAGCAAAGGCAGCAAGGGGCAGAAAGAUGUCACAGCACUGACAGAGAUUCUUUGCACCAUACCUGUGACAGAUUUAGGGAGAAUAAAAAGAUGUAUACCUGUUUCCAAGACAUUAUGAAGAAUCCUCAUUUUUAGAUGUUACUCUGAAACAUUCAGAGAUCAAAUUGUUAUCCAGAAAUAAUAGGAAUUAGACCAUUUUUCUAUGGUGAGUGUGAAUAAUUCAUCUGGUGGGUGUUUUCACCAAGGAAGGCUUUACACCUGCUCAGUGUGUUGCUUUUCCAAGUACCUUUACUUGGGAAUUUGUUCUUGAAAAAUGGGUUCUCCAUCUUCUGUGAGUUAGACCUAGUGGUGAGAAUUAAGAGAGAUGAGAUGGUGUAGAGAAAGAAGCAGAGGUUUGGAGCCAAGAGAGGAGGUUUUACUUCCUGGGGUGUGCAGUUAGAAGCUAUGUGACCCUAGACUAAAGUCACUUGACCUCCUGGUAUUUGUUCCUUCCUCUGUGCAGAGGGAACCACUGAGCUGUUUUGAGACAUAUGAGGUGACGUGAAAGUUUUUCAUGCCUUAAAGCACAAUAGACAGGACAGUUGACAGUGACACUAAUCUCUCAGUUGUGAACUUUGCUUUAUUAAGACUCCAAGGUCACAAAAUGUACAAUGAACUUAGAGAACAGCUCUCAAACCUGGGAGUCCAGAAACACCUCUCAUCUGAUAUACUUGUAAAAAUGUCGAAUCUUGGGAACCACCUGUAGAAUUUCUGAUUCAGUAGGAUUGCAUAGGUGUUAGAAUCUGCUUUUUAAACAAAUACCCCCAACACCAUGAUGAGCUCAUGCCCUGCAGCAGCUUGUGUGUUUAUGUGCUUCUGAGCAACUGUGUCUUUGGAAAGCCUACCUAGGAGUCAGAGGAGGGUCCACGUUUUAGGCAUAGAGUCAAGAGCAUUAAAAUUUUCAAUGCAAGUCUAUUAGCAUCUAAAUAAAGAUGGUAGCUUUGGAUUUAAACAUUCAAUUUUCCUUUUUCCAAAACCCUCCUUGAGAUGACCAACACACACACACACACACACACACACACACACACACACACACCCCAUAUUGCCCCAGGUCUGGUGGAGCAAGGAAGGAAGAAAUCUAGUCAUUUAUUUAGUAAGGUGCUAAUACACACACUCUUGAGAUGCCAGACUCUCCGUGGGUCCAUUUUAUUCAGGCCAAAGUUAGAAAUCACGUGCAUGUU
rnacentral:lncRNA from 9 species